rnacentral:rRNA from 1 species
AGCAAAUGGGCGGGGUGCUAUACAUGCAAGUCGAGCGGACCGACGGGAGCUUGCUCCCUUAGGUCAGCGGCGGACGGGUGAGUAACACGUGGGUAACCUGCCUGUAAGACUGGGAUAACUCCGGGAAACCGGGGCUAAUACCGGAUGCUUGAUUGAACCGCAUGGUUCAAUCAUAAAAGGCGGCUUCGGCUGCCGUUUACAGAUGGACCCGCGGCGCAUUAGCUAGUUGGUGAGGUAACGGCUCACCAAGGCGACGAUGCGUAGCCGACCUGAGAGGGUGAUCGGCCACACUGGGACUGAGACACGGCCCAGACUCCUACGGGAGGCAGCAGUAGGGAAUCUUCCGCAAUGGACGAAAGUCUGACGGAGCAACGCCGCGUGAGUGAUGAAGGUUUUCGGAUCGUAAAGCUCUGUUGUUAGGGAAGAACAAGUACCGUUCGAAUAGGGCGGUACCUUGACGGUACCUAACCAGAAAGCCACGGCUAACUACGUGCCAGCAGCCGCGGUAAUACGUAGGUGGCAAGCGUUGUCCGGAAUUAUUGGGCGUAAAGCGCGCGCAGGCGGUUUCUUAAGUCUGAUGUGAAAGCCCCCGGCUCAACCGGGGAGGGUCAUUGGAAACUGGGGAACUUGAGUGCAGAAGAGGAGAGUGGAAAUUCCACGUGUAGCGGUGAAAUGCGUAGAGAUGUGGAGGAACAGCCAGUGGGCGAAGCGACUCUCUGGUCUGUAACUGACGCUGAGCGCGAAAGCGUGGGGAGCGAACAGGAUUAGAUACCCUGGUAGUCCACGCCGUAACGAUGAGUGCUAGUGUUAGAAGGGUUUCCGCCCUUUAGUGCUGCAGCAAACGCAUAAGCACUCCGCCUGGGGGAGUACGGUCCGCAGGACUGAAACUCAAGAAUUGACGGGGCCCGCCACAAGCGGUGGAGCAUGGUGGUUUAAGUCGAAGCACGCCGAAGAACCUAACCAGGUCUUGGACAUCCUCUGACAUCCCUAGAGAAUAGGCUUCCCCCUUCGGGGGGGCAGAGUGGACGUUGUUGCAAUGGUUGUUCGUUCCACCCUCUUCUGGAAUGUUGGAUAGUCCCGCCACGAGCGCCACCUUGAAUCUAGUGCAGCAAUUCAUUGCAGCUUAGGAUAACUGCCGGGUACCACCCUGAAGGUAAGU